ensembl:snRNA U6 U6 spliceosomal RNA
GAUGCUCAUUUCAGCAGCAUGUGCUAAAAUUGGGACGAUACAGAAAAUGUUAGAAUGGCCUCUGAGUAAGAAUGAUGCUAGUUUGUGAAGCAUUCCGUAGCUUU